GGGUCGGUGGCGGAGUGGUCAAUCGCAAUAGACUGUAAAUCUAUCGCCGUAACGGCUACGCAGGUUCGAAUCCUGCCCGGCCCA
rnacentral:tRNA from 1 species